AGUCGAGCGGUAAGGCCUCUUCGGGGGUACACGAGCGGCGAACGGGUGAGUAACACGUGGGUGACCUGCCCUCAGCUCUGGGAUAAGCCUGGGAAACCGGGUCUAAUACCGGAUAGGACCUUGCCUCGCAUGGGGUGGGGUGGAAAGUUUUUUCGGCUGGGGAUGGGCCCGCGGCCUAUCAGCUUGUUGGUGGGGUGAUGGCCUACCAAGGCGACGACGGGUAGCCGGCCUGAGAGGGCGACCGGCCACACUGGGACUGAAACACGGCCCAAACUCCUACGGGAGGCAGCAGUGGGGAAUAUUGCGCAAUGGGCGGAAGCCUGACGCAGCGACGCCGCGUGGGGGAUGACGGCCUUCGGGUUGUAAACCUCUUUCGCCAUCGACGAAGCCUCUUCGGGGGUGACGGUAGGUGGAAAAGAAGCACCGGCCAACUACGUGCCAGCAGCCGCGGUAACACGUAGGGUGCGAGCGUUGUCCGGAAUUAUUGGGCGUAAAGAGCUCGUAGGCGGUGUGUCGCGUCGGCCGUGAAAACUUGGGCUCACCCCGAGCUUGCGGUCGAUACGGGCCAUCACUGGAGUCGGCAGGGGAGACUGGAAUUCCUGGUGUAGCGGUGAAAUGCGCAGAUAUCAGGAGGAACACCGGUGGCGAAAGGCGGGUCUCUGGGCCGAUACUGACG
rnacentral:rRNA from 1 species